rnacentral:rRNA from 1 species
AGGGCUUACGGUGGAUGCCUUGGGACCAAGGGCCGAUGAAGGGCGCGGUAAGGCUGCGAUAAGCCUCGAUGAGCCGUCUAACAGGCAUAGUCGGGGAUUCCCGAAUGGGGUAACCUGUUCCGGUGUUGAGCCGGUUCAUCCCGCAAUUGCGGGAGGGUAAGCGGGGGAACUGAAACAUCUAAGUACCCCGAGGAAAAGAAAUCAACCGAGAUUCCCUAAGUAGUGGCGAACGAACGGGGAACAGCCUAAACCAUUAUGACUUAACGGCGGGAGGGCCUAUGUCAUAGUGGGGUUAUAGGGAAUAUCUAGGAUCGCCUCUCCAGAUCCAUGGAAGUUACCAAUCUUGUUUCUAGCCGAAGGACCCUGGGAAGGGCCGUCAUAGAGGGUGACAGCCCCGUAGGCGAAAGAGGCAAGACUUCCGGUAUUUUCCUGAGUACCACGGGGCACGGGAAACCUUGUGGGAAGUUGGGGGGACCACCCUCCAAGGCUAAAUACCCUUGGUCACCGAUAGCGCACCAGUACCGUGAGGGAAAGGUGAAAAGAACCCCUAGCGGGGAGUGAAAUAGACCUGAAACCGUAAGCCUACAGAAUGUCGCAGCCUCGAUUCAGUUCGGGGUGACGGCGUGCCUAUUGAAGAAUGAUCCGGGGACUUACUGUAUGGAGCAAGGUUAAGGAACUGGAGUUCCGGAGCCGUAGCGAAAGCGAGUCUGAAUAGGGCGUUCAGUUCCAUGUAGUAGACUCGAAACCGGGUGAGCUACCCAUGGCCAGAUUGAAGGUUCGUUAACGCGGACUGAAGGAUCGAACUCGUGGCUAGUACAAAAGCUUGGGAUGAGCUGUGGGUAGAGGUGAAAUGCCAAUCGAACUCGGAAAUAGCUAGUUCUCCCCGAAAUGCAUUUAGGUGCAGCCUCGGGAAUUAGGAGGACGGAGGUAGGGCACUGAAUGGGCUAGGGGGCGUGAGCUUACCAAACUCAAUCAAACCACCAAUGCCGUUCUGCCGAUACCCGGGAGUGAGACAGUCACAGAUAAGUGCGAUUGUCAAAAGGGAAACAGCCCAGACCACCGGCUAAGGUCCCCAAGCGCAGGCUAAGUGGGAAAGGAGGUGGGGUUCCCAAAACAACCAGGAGGUUGGCUUAGAAGCAGCCAUUCCUUUAAAGAGUGCGUAAUAGCUCACUGGUCGAGGGGUCCUGCGCCGAAAAUGUAACGGGGCUUAAGCCUGCCGCCGAAGCCGUGGAUGUUCAGGUACAACAACUUAAUUCCAGCCUUAUGGUGCAAUGCCGUAAGGGUGGAGUGCAAGUUGUUGAAGCUGCCUGGGCGUGGUAGGGGAGCGUUCCUCGGGCGACGAAGGUGAGUCGUGAGGCUUGCUGGAGCGCGGGGAAGUGAGAAUCCCGGAAUGAGUAGCGUAAAUCAGGGUGAGAAUCCCUGACACCGAAAGCCCAAGGUUUCCUACGCAACGUUUAUCGGCGUAGGGUUAGUCGGUCCUAAGCCGUAGGCAAGUGCCGAAGGCGAUGGACAGCAGGUUAAUAUUCCUGCACCGCCGUUGUUUUUAUGAUACUCGGAGGGGUGCGGAAGGGUAGGUCGGGCGUCUUAUUGGAUUGGCGUCCUCCUCCGUAGGCGAGCCAGGGCAGGCAAAUCCACUCUGGCGUUAAGCUGAGGGUUGAGGGAAUCGUAGUCUAAGGGCUAACGAAAUCCGGCUGAACCCAAACCGACGAGAAAAGCUUCGUUUGGAGAAGCAGCGGCGACCGUACCGCAAACCGCCACUGGUGGGCUGGGAUAAAAGUCCCUAGGUGUUCGAGCUAACCUCCGCUAAGGAACUAGACAAAAGAGCCCUGUAACUUUGGGAGAAAGGGCCCCCUGGGGGGUGAAACCGCUAGCCGGUGGAGCGCUUCGGGGGCGCAGAUAAGAAGGCCGGGCGACUGUUUAACAAAAACACAGGUCUGUGCUAAGGGGAAACCCUACGUAUACAGGCUGACGCCUGCCCAGUGCCGGAAGGUUAAGGGGAGUGGUGCAAGCUACGAACUGAAGCCCCGGUGAACGGCGGCCGUAACUCUAACGGUCAACCGAACGCUGCAAGUCCAGGUUACCUGGAAGUGCUGUGUUUAAGGCCGUUGUAAAAUCUGGCUAUAUGCUGGGAAGUCCGAGGAUCCGGCGCUACCGGCCCCGACAUCAUAAGGGGAAGGUGACAAUGUGUCCGGUGCGGAUUAUCAGCAGGAAAGACCUGACCAAUGCGACUCUUUGGUGCAUCUGCCAGGGGCGACUCUGGCGGCUAAUCUGGGAGAAGCAAAGUUAGGAAUCCUCAGAGACCAUACGCCGGACCCGUAGGCGGAACGUACGGGAAGAUAUGGUCCGAUCUGCAUGGCGACAUGCAGAGGUCGGCAGAAAUGACCGGCCCACCUCUUGCUUGGCAACAGGUCUGGAGGGAGUAACAAAAUGCCUAAGGUAGCGAAGUCCCUUGUCGGGUAAGUUCCGACCCGCAUGAAUGGUUGAACGACUUGGCCAUUGUCUCGGCGGAGGGCUCGGUGAAAUUGCGGUGCCCGUGAAGACGCGGGCGACCCGCGGCAGGACAAAAAGACCCCGUGGAGCUUUACUGUAGCCUGGCAUUGGGCUGGGAGCUGUCAUGUGUAGGAUAGGUGGGAGACUAUGAAUCCCCUACGCCAGUAGGGGUGGAGUCGCCGUUGAAAUACCACCCUUGGCUGUUUUUGGUUCUAACCUCAGCAAAACUGGGGAACAGUGCUUGGUGGGCAGUUUAACUGGGGCGGUUGCCUCCUAAAAAGUAACGGAGGCGCCCAAAGGUCCUCUCAGGACGGAUGGAAAUCGUCCACAGAACGCAUUGGCAUAAGAGGGCUUGACUGCGAGACCUACAAGUCGAGCAGGGACGAAAGUCGGGCAAAGUGAUCCUACGGCACCGUGUGGAAGGGCCGUGGCUUAUCGGAUAAAAGCUACCCCGGGGAUAACAGGCUUAUCUCGCCCAAGAGUUCACAUCGACGGCGAGGUUUGGCACCUCGAUGUCGGCUCGUCCCAUCCUGGGGCUGAAGGCGGUCCCAAGGGUCCGGCUGUUCGCCGGUUAAAGGGGUACGUGAGUUGGGUUCAGAACGUCGUGAGACAGUUCGGUCUCUAUCCGCCGUGGGCGCAGGAGGCUUGAGGGAACCUCUCCCUAGUACGAGAGGACCGGGAGGGACAGACCUAUGGUGUUCCAGUUGUUCCGCCAGGAGCAGCGCUGGGUAGCCAUGUCUGGCAGCGAUAAGCGCUGAAGGCAUCUAAGCGCGAAGCAUCCCCCAAGAUGAGGCCUCCCUUCCCGAUUAAUUUCGGGAGUAAGACUGCAGAGAGACUAUCUGCUUGAUAGGUCGGAUGUGUAAGGCUGGCAACAGUUUCAGCAUACCGAUACUAACCGGUCGAGAGAUUUGACC